rnacentral:RNase_P_RNA from 4 species
GGAGCAGAGCGGAUGAUCGCCGGUCCGGGUGACCGGAGCGGAGGAAAGUCCGAACUCCACAGGGCAGGAUGGUCGCUAACGGCGACUGGGGGCAACCCUAAGGAAAGUGCCACAGAAAAGAUACCGCCCCUCCGCUUCAGGAGGGGUAAGGGUGAAAAGGCGAGGUAAGAGCUCACCAGUUUCCCGGGUGACCGGGAAAGCUUGGUAAACCCCAUCCGGAGCAAGACCAAAUAGGAGAACGGGGCGGCCCGCCCCCAUGUUCUCGGGUUGUGUCGCUUGAGGCGGCCGGCAACGGCCGUCCUAAGAGGAAUGAUCAUCGCCGCCCCCCGGGCGACCGGGAGGCGGAACAGGAUUCGGCUUACGAUCUGCUCGGACA